rnacentral:rRNA from 1 species
AUUGAACGCUGGCGGCAGGCUUAACACAUGCAAGUCGAGCGGAGAUGAGGUGCUUGCACCUUAUCUUAGCGGCGGACGGGUGAGUAAUGCUUAGGAAUCUGCCUAUUAGUGGGGGACAACAUUCCGAAAGGAAUGCUAAUACCGCAUACGUCCUACGGGAGAAAGCAGGGGAUCUUCGGACCUUGCGCUAAUAGAUGAGCCUAAGUCGGAUUAGCUAGUUGGUGGGGUAAAGGCCUACCAAGGCGACGAUCUGUAGCGGGUCUGAGAGGAUGAUGCGCCACACUGGGACUGGGACACGGCCCAGACUCCUACGGGAGGCAGCAGUGGGGAAUAUUGGAAAAUGGGGGGAACCCUGAUCCAGCCAUGCCGCGUGUGUGAAGAAGGCCUUAUGGUUGUAAAGCACUUUAAGCGAGGAGGAGGCUACUGAGACUAAUACUCUUGGAUAGUGGACGUUACUCGCAGAAUAAGCACCGGCUAACUCUGUGCCAGCCGCCGCGGUAAAAC